rfam:Ancylostoma ceylanicum strain HY135 Acey_s0032_scaf, whole genome shotgun sequence.
UAGCUCAAUCGGUAGAGCGUCCGACUACCAGUCAGGCGGUCGCUGGUUCGAGUCCGGU